rnacentral:rRNA from 1 species
UACGGAGGGGGCUAGCGUUGUUCGGAAUUACUGGGCGUAAAGCGCACGUAGGCGGUUUUGUUAGUUAGAGGUGAAAGCCCGGGGCUCAACUCCGGAAUUGCCUUUAAGACUGCAUCGCUAGAAUUGUGGAGAGGUAAGUGGAAUUCCGAGUGUAGAGGUGAAAUUCGUAGAUAUUCGGAAGAACACCAGUGGCGAAGGCGACUUACUGGACACAUAUUGACGCUGAGGUGCGAAAGCGUGGGGAGCAAACAGG